GGGGGUGGGGGUGUUUAACAAAAGUCACAUUUUCCUAACAUUGUUGUUUGUUUCUUCUAACAAGUAAUUAAUAUUGUGUUGAAAAUUAUUGUUUUUAUUUCCCACCGAGUGUUCAGAAUUCGUAUUGAAGUCCCAAUUAAUUCGAAUCUCGCAUUGCACGGCUCAUUCUGGAGAAAGAGUUUCCAACUGGAUCUUUUCCAUACCCAGGAC
rnacentral:lncRNA from 1 species